GAUGAACGCUGGCGGCGUGCCUUAGGCAUGCAAGUCGAACGGAUACGAGUAAUCGUGUUAGUGGCAGACGGGUGAGUAACGCGUAGGAACUUGCCUCUUGGUGGGGAAUAACCCAGAGAAAUUUGGGCUAAUACCGCAUGAGAUCCACCCUAAAAAGUGGAUGAAAGGGCGUAACUGCUCGCCGAGAGAGAGGCCUGCGUCCUAUCAGCUUGUUGGUGGGGUAAUGGCCCACCAAGGCUAUGACGGGUAGCCGGUGUGAGAGCAUGAUCGGCCACAAGGACACUGAGACACGGGUCCUACACCUACGGGUGGCAGCAACCGGGAAUAUUGCGCAAUGGGCGAAAGCCUGACCCAGCGACGCCGCGUGGGGGAAGAAGGCCUUCGGGUCGUAAACCCCUUUUGCCGGGGAAGAAGCUCUGACGGUACCUGGCGAAUAAGCCACGGCUAACUACGUG
rnacentral:rRNA from 1 species